rnacentral:rRNA from 1 species
UACGGAAGGCAGCAGUGGGGAAUAUUGCACAAUGGGCGCAAGCCUGAUGCAGCCAUGCCGCGUGUAUGAAGAAGGCCUUCGGGUUGUAAAGUACUUUCAGUCGUGAGGAAGGUGUUAAGGUUAAUAACCUUAGCAAUUGACGUUAGCGACAGAAGAAGCACCGGCUAACUCCGUGCCAGCAGCCGCGGUAAUACGGAGGGUGCGAGCGUUAAUCGGAAUUACUGGGCGUAAAGGGCACGCAGGCGGUUAAUUAAGUUGGAUGUGAAAUCCCCGGGCUUAACCUGGGAAUGGCAUUCAAGACUGGUUAGCUAGAGUCUUGUAGAGGGGGUAGAAUUCCACGUGUAGCGGUGAAAUGCGUAGAGAUGUGGAGGAAUACCGGUGGCGAAGGCGGCCCCUGGACAAAGACUGACGCUCAUGUGCGAAAGCGUGGGGAGCAAACAGGGAUUAGAUACC